rnacentral:rRNA from 1 species
UACGGAGGAUCCGAGCGUUAUCCGGAUUUAUUGGGUUUAAAGGGUGCGUAGGUGGAUUGGUAAGUCAGUGGUGAAAGUUUGCAGCUUAACUGUAAAAUUGCCGUUGAAACUGCCGGUCUUGAGUGCAAAUGAGGUAGGCGGAAUGCGUCGUGUAGCGGUGAAAUGCUUAGAUAUGACGCAGAACUCCGAUUGCGAAGGCAGCUUACUGGGAUGCAACUGACGCUGAGGCACGAAGGCGUGGGGAUCAAACAGGAUUAGAUACCCG